UUGGAGGGCAAGUCUGGUGCCAGCAGCCGCGGUAAUUCCAGCUCCAAUAGCGUAUAUUAAAGUUGCUGCAGUUAAAAAGCUCGUAGUUGAAUUUCGGGACCAAUAUGUCGGUCGUGCCUCGGUACGUACUGGCAUCGUUGGUUUCUCCCUUCUGACGAACCAUGAUGUCAUUCAUUUGGUGUCGUGGGGAAUCAGGACUGUUACUUUGAAAAAAUUAGAGUGUUUAAAGCAGGCUCACGCUUGAAUACAUUAGCAUGGAAUAAUGAAAUAGGACGUUUGAUUCUAUUUUGUUGGUUUCUAGGAUCGACGUAAUGAUUAAUAGGGAUAGUUGGGGGCAUUAGUAUUCAAUUGUCAGAGGUGAAAUUCUUGGAUUUAUUGAAGACUAACUACUGCGAAAGCAUUUGCCAAGGAUGUUUUCAUUAAUCAAGAACGAAAGUUAGGGGAUCGAAGACGAUCAGAUACCGUCGUAGUCUUAACCAUAAACUAUGCCGACUAGGGAUCGGAUGAUGUUAAUUUUUUAAUGACUCAUUCGGCACCUUACGGGAAAC
rnacentral:rRNA from 1 species